GCCUCCAUAGCUCAGGGGUAGAGCAUUUCCCUCGUAAAGAAAAGGUCGUCGGUUCAAAUCCGACUGGGGGCUCCA
rnacentral:tRNA from 7 species